UGGGUAAUAUUGCACAAUGGGGGAAACCCUGAUGCAGCGACGCCGCGUGAACGAAGAAGGUAUUCGUAUCGUAAAGUUCUGUCCUAUGGGAAGAUAAUGACAGUACCAUAGAAGAAAGCUCCGGCUAAAUACGUGCCAGCAGCCGCGGUAAUACGUAUGGAGCGAGCGUUGUCCGGAAUUAUUGGGCGUAAAGGGUACGCAGGCGGUUUAAUAAGUCGAAUGUUAAAGAUCGGGGCUCAACCCCGCAAAGCAUUGGAAACUGAUAAACUUGAGUAGUGGAGAGGAAAGUGUAAUUCCUAGUGUAGUGGUGAAAUACGUAGAUAUUAGGAGGAAUACCAGUAGCGAAGGCGACUUUCUGGACACAAACUGACGCUGAGGUACGAAAGCGUGGGGAGCAAACAGG
rnacentral:rRNA from 1 species